rnacentral:rRNA from 1 species
AGUGAACGCUGGCGGCGUGCUUAACACAUGCAAGUCGAACGAGAACGGGUUAUAGCUUGCUAUAAUUGUCAGCUAAGUGGCGUACGGGUGAGUAAUGUAUAGGUAAUAUGCCUCUUACUAAGGGAUAACAAAUGGAAACGUUUGCUAAUACCUUAUACUCCUUAUUAACAGAAGUUAAUAAGGGAAAGAUUUAUUGGUAAGAGAUUAGCCUGUAUUGUAUCAGUUAGUUGGUGAGGUAAUGGCUUACCAAGACUAUGACACAUAACUGGUUUGAGAGGGUGAUCAGUCACACUGGAACUGAGACACGGUCCAGACUCCUACGGGAGGCAGCAGUGGGGAAUAUUGCACAAUGGACGAAAGUCUGAUGCAGCAACGCCGCGUGGAGGAUGACACAUUUCGGUGCGUAAACUCCUUUUAUAUGAGAAGAUAAUGACGGUAUUAUAUGAAUAAGCACCGGCUAACUCCGUGCCAGCCGCCGCGGUAA